UGGGGAAUUUUGCACAAUGGGGGAAACCCUGAUGCAGCGACGCCGCGUGAUUUAGAAGGCCUUCGGGUUGUAAAAAUCUUUUCUAUGGGAAGAAAAUGACAGUACCAUAGGAAUAAGGACCGGCUAAUUACGUGCCAGCAGCCGCGGUAAUACGUAGGGUCCGAGCGUUGUCCGGAAUCAUUGGGCGUAAAGGGUACGUAGGCGGGUAAGCAAGUUAGAAGUGAAAUCCUAUAGCUCAACUAUAGUAAGCUUUUAAAACUGCUCAUCUUGAGGUAUGGAAGGGAAAGUGGAAUUCCUAGUGUAGCGGUGAAAUGCGCAGAUAUUAGGAGGAAGACCGGUGGCGAAGGCGACUUUCUGGCCAUAACCUGACGCUGAGGUACGAAAGCGUGGGUAGCAAACAGG
rnacentral:rRNA from 1 species